AGUUGAUGUAUAUUCUGAAGACAGAGUUGGUA
rnacentral:piRNA from 1 species